CGAGGGAAAUUGAAAUUUUGCCCCCAAAAUUUUUCAAAUAGUCAGACAGAAAAAUCAAUCAAAUAACAACUACAAAAGUUUUUUGCCACGUCUUCAAAACAUAUCUCACUGGAGGAUAAACCGGUCUCUCUACAUGUUGAAUAUGCAUGAAGCUAGUCUAUUGUUCGAAAGCUCCAAAAGCUUUCUCAGAAAUGGUUCAUGGACAUCAAAAGACUGACAGAGCUUCACAAUCCUAUAUAAAGCCGGCAACUCGGCUGAUAUCAGAGCACUUGAUCUACACAACGACAUUUUUUUCCUUAAUCUACAGAUUUUCGAGGACGUCAACCCGACUGUACUUCCGUCUUCAGGAUGAAAACUACCCUGGUACUGCUUCUGGCUGUGCUGGUCAUCUCGUCUGAAAUUAUGACCGCCGACAGCUUUGUGAGGGCUGGAAGGGGACUUGAGCGUGCUUCCAAGUCUACCCGUGAGGAAGUGGCGGCCCUGAAGUCUUUGUUGGCCCGCCGACUGGCCGAGGCUGAACGCCGCGAGAUGGCCAGGGAGUUGCAGGACCUGGACGACGAAAUGGUGGACAUGAUGGAGGAACUUGAAUAAAGAAAAUGACAGCCGCACCAACCUCGAGAACAUCUCGUGACCGUCACAUGAACAUUGAUGACUGUUAAGCAUGCACAGACAUCUAUAAGUGUAAAUGUUACGAACUGUGGCUGUUUGGAAAAAAACUAGUUGUUCUUCCUCCUGUUGUAGUUGGCACUAAGAGCAAGAAGAAAUUUGAUGCCAGAAGAAAUAAAAGGAAAUAUGAGGAA